GAUGAACGCUGGCGGCGUGCCUAAUACAUGCAAGUCGAGCGAACAGACGAGGAGCUUGCUCCUCUGACGUUAGCGGCGGACGGGUGAGUAACACGUGGAUAACCUACCUAUAAGACUGGGAUAACUUCGGGAAACCGGAGCUAAUACCGGAUAAUAUAUUGAACCGCAUGGUUCAAUAGUGAAAGACGGUUUUGCUGUCACUUAUAGAUGGAUCCGCGCCGCAUUAGCUAGUUGGUAAGGUAACGGCUUACCAAGGCAACGAUGCGUAGCCGACCUGAGAGGGUGAUCGGCCACACUGGAACUGAGAAACGGUCCAGACUCCUACGGGAGGCAGCAGUAGGGAAUCUUCCGCAAUGGGCGAAAGCCUGACGGAGCAACGCCGCGUGAGUGAUGAAGGUCUUCGGAUCGUAAAACUCUGUUAUUAGGGAAGAACAAAUGUGUAAGUAACUAUGCACGUCUUGACGGUACCUAAGCAGAAAGCCACGGCUAACUACUU
rnacentral:rRNA from 1 species